UACGAAGGGGGCGAGCGUUGUUCGGAAUUACUGGGCGUAAAGGGCGCGUAGGCGGUCCUUCAAGUCAGGCGUGAAAGCCCCGGGCUCAACCUGGGAACCGCGCUUGAGACUGGCGGACUCGAGUUCGGGAGAGGAUGGUGGAAUUCCCAGUGUAGAGGUGAAAUUCGUAGAUAUUGGGAAGAACACCGAUGGCGAAGGCAGCCAUCUGGACCGACACUGACGCUGAGGCGCGAAAAGCGUGGGGAGCAACAGG
rnacentral:rRNA from 1 species